rnacentral:rRNA from 1 species
GACGAACGCUGGCGGCGUGCCUAAUACAUGCAAGUAGAACGCACAGUUUAUACCGUAGCUUGCUACACCAUAAACUGUGAGUUGCGAACGGGUGAGUAACGCGUAGGUAACCUGCCUGGUAGCGGGGGAUAACUAUUGGAAACGAUAGCUAAUACCGCAUAAUAUUAAUUAUUGCAUGAUAAUUGAUUGAAAGAUGCAAUUGCAUCACUACCAGAUGGACCUGCGUUGUAUUAGCUAGUAGGUGAGGUAACGGCUCACCUAGGCGACGAUACAUAGCCGACCUGAGAGGGUGAUCGGCCACACUGGGACGGAGACACGGCCCAGAAUCCUACGGGAGGCAGCAGUAGGGAAUCUUCGGCAAUGGGCGAAAGUCUGACCGAGCAACGCCGCGUGAGGGAAGAAGGGUUUCGGAUCGUAAAGCUCUGUUGUAAGAGAAGAACGGGUGUGAGAGUGGAAAGUUCACACUGUGACGGUAUCUUACCAGAAAGGGACGGCUAACUACGUG